GACGAACGCUGGCGGCGUGCUUAACACAUGCAAGUCGAACGGUGAAGCGCCUUCCUUUUUGGUGGGUGUGGAUGAGUGGCGAACGGGUGAGUAACACGUGAGUAACCUGCCCCCUUCUUCUGGAUAACCGCAUGAAAGUGUGGCUAAUACGGGAUAUUCUGGGUCUGUCGCAUGAUGGGUCUGGGAAAGAUAUUGUUUCGGUGGGGGAUGGGCUCGCGGCCUAUCAGCUUGUUGGUGGGGUGAUGGCCUACCAAGGCGGUGACGGGUAGCCGGCAUGGGAGGGUGGACGGUCACACUGGGCCUGAGGCACGGCCCAGACUCCUACGGGAGGCAGCAGUCGGGAGUAUGGCACAAUGGGCGCAAGCCUGAUGCAGCGACGCCGCGUGAGGGAUGGAGGCCUUCGGGUUGUGAACCUCUUUCGCUAGUGAAGCAGGCCUGCCUCGUUUGUGGGUGGGUUGACGGUAGCUGGAGAAGAAGCGCCGGCUAACUACGUG
rnacentral:rRNA from 1 species